rnacentral:snRNA from 1 species
GGAUGUGAGAGCAAUCUGGCUGUGACAUAUGUCACCUCACCGAUUACCAGCGUUGAUUUGGCUGACCUGGCUGGCUAAGCAGGUGUCCCCUUCCUCCCUCCCCACUCCAAGUUUGUCCCUUUCAAAGCUGUGCCCUUGGUCAAAGAGGACGACCUUUCCCAAAUACAGGAGGACCCAUUCUUCCAUCAAGGGUAUCAAGUAGCUGUGCUCCCUGCUAGAACCUCGGAACAAGCUCCCUACAUACAGAAACAGAAGAAACAAGCAGGAAGUUCCUAUCGUACAAAUAAACUUU